AUGCGAUGACGCGAGGCGCGUGGAGGGUUACAAACAUACAUACAGGUGAAACUAAUAUAAGCGUGUUAAAAUACACAUUACAUUUUUUAACAUAAAUUAAUAAUUGUUUAAUACACGUAUUAGUAUCUCGAUUAUUAAUAUAAUCAAAGUUAUUUUUUUUUCAACCAUUAAAUUUUAAUAAAGCAAACCACGCGUGUUCAAGACCGUAAAACGAUACAAAAAAAAAAUAUAAAUCAAUUCAAAUAUGAUAUGAGUUAAAAGAACAUAACUAAAAGUUUCUGAAAAAAAAAAAACAAAUUUUUUUGACCUUCAAAUUU